AGAGUUUGAUCCUGGCUCAGAAUGAACGCUGGCGGCGUGCCUAACACAUGCAAGUCGAGCGAGAAAGUGGCUUCGGCCAUGAGUACAGCGGCGAACGGGUGAGUAACACGUGGAUAACCUGCCUGGAAGUGGGGGAUAACUCGGGGAAACCUGAGCUAAUACCGCAUAAGCCUUCCGGAUCUUGGUCCGGAUUGGAAAGGUUGCCUCUUCUUCGAAAGCUAUCGCUUCCAGAGGGGUCCGCGCCUGAUUAGCUAGUUGGUGAGGUAAUGGCUCACCAAGGCGACGAUCAGUAGCCGGCCUGAGAGGGUGAUCGGCCACACUGGAACUGAGACACGGUCCAGACUCCUACGGGAGGCAGCAGUGGGGAAUAUUGCGCAAUGGGGGAAACCCUGACGCAGCAACGCCGCGUGGAGGAUGAAGGCCUUCGGGUCGUAAACUCCUGUCAGGUGGGAAGAAUAGGUUGCAGCUAACAACUGCAACUGUUGACG
rnacentral:rRNA from 1 species